AAUUGAGACUGGGUGUAGGACUACCCUUUUCUUUGGUCUUAUUCCUUUACAAAGCAGAAUAACAAGGACAGUGUUCAAAAUAUUAUACUAUUCUGAAUCUGUGGACCUUCAAUAUGAGGACUUGGUGAUAGGCAUUACAGGGAAAAGGAAAAGGAAGGAUUGGAAAUGGAUUGCAUGAAAGUCCAAUACAGAUAGAACUCAUCCAUUCAGAGGGGGCUGGGGCUUUCCUCUUUUGUUUGUUUGAUACCUUGGAUUGUAUUUUACUUUUUCACUCUCCUGUGUCUAAAAGUGCUCUUCUUUUUUUUUGACAGCAAACAUCCUAAACCUUCUCAAUUAAUUUAUCAGCAAUGGUUGCCCCCACCAUUAAAGCACCAAACACUAAUUCUAACAGAGUGAUAAGACAUCCAAGUUGGAUUAUUAAUCACCCCAUCCCCACCACAUAAACAGGAGAAGAGAAAAAAAAAAAA